AUUGAACGCUGGCGGCAGGCCUAACACAUGCAAGUCGAACGAGUCGCGCACGGGUGAGUAAUGUCUGAGAAACUGCCCGAUGGAGGGGGAUAACUACGGGAAACGGUAGCUAAUACCGCAUACCAUCGGAUGUGCCCAGAUGGGAUUAGCUAGUAGGUGGGGGAACGGCUCACCUAGGCGACGAUCCCGAGCUGGUCUGAGGGGAUGAACAGCCCACCUGUAACUGAGACACGGUCCAGACUCCUACGGGAGGCAGCAGUGGGGAAUAUUGCACAAUGGGCGCAAGCCUGAUGCAGCCAUGCCGCGUGUAUGAAGAAGGCCUUCGGGUUGUAAAGUACUUUCAGCGAGGAGGCGUUACUCGCAGAAGAAGCACCGGCUAACUCCGUGCCAGCCGCCGCGGUAAUAC
rnacentral:rRNA from 1 species